UUAAAUUGAAGAGUUUGAUCAUGGCUCAGAUUGAACGCUGGCGGCAGGCUUAACACAUGCAAGUCGAACGGUAACAUGAGUGCUUGCACUUGAUGACGAGUGGCGGACGGGUGAGUAAUGUAUGGGGAUCUGCCGAAUGGAGGGGGACAACAGUUGGAAACGACUGCUAAUACCGCAUAAUGUUGAGAGACCAAAGCAUGGGACCUUAGGGCCAUGCGCCAUUUGAUGAACCCAUAUGGGAUUAGCUAGUUGGUAGGGUAAAGGCUUACCAAGGCGACGAUCUCUAGCUGGUCUGAGAGGAUGACCAGCCACACU
rnacentral:rRNA from 1 species